rfam:Hordeum vulgare subsp. vulgare, WGS project CAJW01000000 data, contig: morex_contig_364437
GGAUGCCAUGAGGUAUCUGAUGCUUGGUCUUCUUUCAUGGCCUUGUUUCUCGUUAGAUUGGCAUACAUCAAGAAGGAAACGGGUUUUUGCGACACUGGUUGCUCUCAUACAAGGAGCUUCCAUUUACUAUACCCCCGUUUAACCAU